CCUACGGGUGGCUGCAGUGGGGGAUAUUGCACAAUGGGGGGAACCCUGAUGCAGCGACGCCGCGUGGGUGAAGGAGUGCUUCGGCAUGUAAAGCCCUAUCGGCAGGGAAGAAGCAAGACGGUACCUGACUAAGAAGCCCCGGCUAACUACGUGCCAGCAGCCGCGGUAAUACGUAGGGGGCGGGCGUUAUCCGGAUUCACUGGGUGGAAGGGGGGCGUGGACGGCCAAGCAAGCCAGGGGUGAAAGCCCGGGGGCCAAACACGGGACUGCCCUUGAAACUUCAUGUCUUGAGUGCGGGAGGGGCAGGCGGAAUUCCUGGUGUAGCGGUGAAAUGCGUAGAUAUCAGGAGGAACACCGGCGGCGAAGGCGGCCUGCUGGACCGCGACUGACGUUGAGGCUCGAAAGCGUGGGGAGCGAACAGGAUUAGAUACCCCUGUAGUC
rnacentral:rRNA from 1 species